AGAUCUUAUUUUUUCUAGUUCAAAAUUACUUUUUGCGCGAGGGAUACGUGGCGCAUGGAACAAACAUGAAAACUCCAGAAUCAAUGUUAAUGUUAAUUUCGAAACUGUUCUAAGUACUUGAAAAAGCAACUAAAUAGCAGAGUCAAUUUCACCUGUGAAAUGAACGAAACGAAACAAAAUUUAGGACAAAAAAGGUCAAAUAAAAUAAGUUAUUUUCCAGAAAUUUAAUUUGGGAAAUUUCGCCGACGUUCUCAUCAUCAAAACAAUUUUUGGAAUGGCCGACUUAUUAAGAAUUUGUUGUAGAAAAAAUCACGCAAAAAUUUGCGUAAAAAGCAAUUUCAGUGUAUUUCUGAACGAAAAACCAAGACAGUUUCAAACGGAUUUUGUAAAUAUGAGCUCCAAUUUUAAAACAGUUUAUUAAAUUGUUUAAUGAAUAGAUAAAGGAAGAAAAAUUAAAUUGGACAUAUAUAUAUAUUUUUUUGAAAUUUAUGACAAAACAAAAUUUCAUUGUUCAAAAAUUUCCCUACAUUUACAAACUUUAAUAAAAGCGGAUGCCAAAUAAAACAAAAAUCAUUUAACACUUCUGAAUUCUUUAGAGAGAAUACUACCGUUUCAAUUUCAAAAACUCGAUUGUUCUAGGACUAGGUGAGGUUAGGUUAAGAUGCCCCGUCGAUUUCAAUCGUUAUUUUUAAAACAUCAACUUUGACACCAUCUAAAGAUAAACCACUUGCAAAUAAUCCUCAAAGGAUGCAUUUAACUGAAUGACAAUAUAACUUGAGUACCGGUAGAAAAUUGCAUUACGUCAGCAGCGGUCGCUCUCCAGCAGGUUUUGCAUUCGAAUGCUGUUGAAAAGGAGCCGAAGAAAACCGCUGCUGAAGUAUUCCAAAACCCUACAUAUUUUUUCACAUUUUCGCAAAGAGCUGAAUGUGACGUUUAAACUAACAGAGUUGUGAUUGUUUAUAUUACAGCAGAAAUUAUUUUGGUUCAGAAUAAAAGCAUAGAAAAACAAACACAUUUUUUAGGAAUGUUUGAUACAUGGAUCGAAAUUAUUCACAUUCAUAGAAAUGCAAAUGUAUAAACCUGCAAAUCUGCUGCUUGUGAUUUAAAUCAAGUUGAAUUUGAUCGCUUUUCGAAAUUUUUUGGAUCGCGAAAGUUCAGAUAGCUAUGUUCUCUCUUCGGACCGCACCCUUUGGAAUCCAGGUCUGAUGUCAAAUACAACUAUUGAUAUAAAUUGAAAAAUGAAGGGAGGUUUAGGAAAUCUGAAUCUGAUGAAGGGAGGCGUUAAAAACAGUUUUCGCCUGCAGCUCAAAUCACUCUUCGUCCGCCUCUGUGUACAGCGUAAAGGUACAACCUACAGGGUUUGUUUGUUUGUUUUUUUUUUUAUUUUAUGUUUUGUUUUUGUGUUUCUGAUAAGUAGUUCUUUCUGUAACAUGCUCACCGCGAGAGACGUUGGAAUCAUGUUUUUGGUACAAUGACUGCUGUGACUAGUUUUUUUUUCGAAAGUUUUUGAUCAAAUGAUAUGCGUAAAUAAAUAUGCAUUUACUUUUCUAAAAUAUAAUGUUUGUCUACACCAACAGAAAUAAUUUUUAUCUAUCGCGAGAACAAGUGCAUAACCUUCUGAGACAGGAGCUGCGUGGCCGCAAGGUUUUGGAGUCUGCUUUGUCAAGCUUUGUCGGUCGAUAUCAAAAAUGAAUAAACAUGGGUUUAUUCUCAGGUUCCCCCAUCACUUACUUUUUCUUUACGUUCAAUUCUAUAAUACCUUUGUGUGAAUUUCUCUUAACAAAAAUAUAACUUGAUUUUAGUUGAAAAGUAUUGCAGUUUUAGAAAUAUCUUGCAUUCAUUCCUAGGGUCCAAUGAAAAACAAUAAGAAAGCAAACUAUUUUACUACCGGAAACACCCGACUUUGCAGUGUAAGUAAAUAAGAAAAUAAUUGCAAGUGAUGAAUAAAAUUUAUUUUUUUGUCAUUAUGAAUAGCUUCAUGUUAAUUACGAGCGAGAUCUGUACGCGGCCGUAGUCACAGGAAGCUGAGGUCUAUACCGGGUGCGCUUGAAGCUUCCAAUGCCGAACUUGAGUGAAACAUACCAGCACGAGAGCAUGAAAGAGAGACUGCUGCUGCUGGACUACUGCUGCUGUUGGGACCACUGUUGCUGCUGGAACUAUUGCUACUGCUGCUGGGACUAUUGCUACUGCUGCUGGGACUGCUGCCGAGUUGUUGCCUCCAAGCAGUUCUGUGGAAACUCUAGGUACAACUAUUACUACAUGGUCCAACGAUCAACUGUAAAGCUCAGAAAUAUUCAAAGGGAUCGGUAAACUUGCUUCAGCGGGAGAACCUGGACUGAUUCGAAAAAUAAAGCGAUUGCGACAUCGAUCGGGCAAGCAAGCCUACACAAUCGGAACCCUGCAUUCAUACACAUAUCCUGUUGUUUCCAGAAAAUGAUUUAUUUAAAGAACAAACAAAAUAAAAUUCAAUGUAAUCUUA